rnacentral:rRNA from 1 species
AUGAACGCUGGCGGCGUGCCUAAUACAUGCCAGUCGAGCGAACAGACGAGGAGCUUGCUCCUCUGACGUUAGCGGCGGGCGGGUGAGUAACACGUGGAUAACCUACCUAUAAGACUGGGAUAACUUCGGGAAACCGGAGCUAAUACCGGAUAAUAUAUUGAACCGCCUGGUUCAAUAGUGAAAGACGGUUUUGCUGUCACUUAUAGAUGGAUCCGCGCCGUAUUAGCUAGUUGGUAAGGUAACGGCUUACCAAGGCAACGAUGCGUAGCCGACCUGAGAGGGUGAUCGGCCACACUGGAACUGAGACACGGUCCAGACUCCUACGGGAGGCAGCAGUAGGGAAUCUUCCGCAAUGGGCGAAAGCCUGACGGAGCAACGCCGCGUGAGUGAUGAAGGUCUUCGGAUCGUAAAACUCUGUUAUUAGGGAAGAACAAAUGUGUAAGUAACUAUGCACGUCUUGACGGUACCUAAUCAGAAAGCCACGGCUAACUACGUG